rnacentral:rRNA from 1 species
GUGAGGAAUAUUGGUCAAUGGGCGAAAGCCUGAACCAGCCAUGUCGCGUGAAGGAUGAAGGUCCUAUGGAUUGUAAACUUCUUUUGCAGGAGGGUAAAGUGAGCUACGUGUAGUUCAUUGCAAGUACCCUGCGAAUAAGCAUCGGCUAACUCCGUGCCAGCAGCCGCGGUAAUACGGAGAAUGCGAGCGUUAUCCGGAUUUAUUGGGUUUAAAGGGUGCGUAGGCGGACUAAUUAGUCAGCGGUGAAAUUUUGCGGCUCAACCGUAAAACUGCCGUUGAAACUGUUAGUCUUGAGUGCGGUAGAGGUAGGCGGAAUGUGUGGUGUAGCGGUGAAAUGCUUAGAUAUCACACAGAACACCGAUUGCGUAGGCAGCUUACUGGAGCGCAACUGACGCUGAGGCACGAAAGCGUGGGGAUCGAACAGGAUUAGAAACCCUGGUAGUCC